AUGAAUUGGCCAAGUUGGAACUGUCGGGGGGCGGGGAAUCCCUCGACAAUUCGUGACCUCGCGUCUCUUGUUAGGAUGCAUUCCCCAAGUCUUGUUUUCUUGUGUGAGACUAGGCAAAAUAAAAAUAAGAUGUAUCGUUUGCGUAAUAGGUUAGGGCUUUCUGGUUUUGAAGGAGUCAGUAGUAAUGGCCGUAGUAGUGGCCUAGCACUGUUCUGGCAUGAGUCUAUGUAUAUCGAUGUGCAAGAAGCAAAUGAAAGAUUGAUUGACAUGUAUUUGUGUAUGUCCCCGAACAAGCCACUAUGGAGAGCUCCAUUGUUUAUGGCGAACCGAGAGUAG
rnacentral:rRNA from 1 species